UACGGGGGGAGCAAGCGUUGUUCGGAAUUACUGGGCGUAAAGGGCGCGUAGGCGGUUCGUCAAGUCCUGUGUGAAAUCCCCCGGCUCAACUGGGGAACUGCACAGGAAACUAGCGGGCUUGAGUUCGGGAGAGGGAAGCGGAAUUCCGGGUGUAGCGGUGAAAUGCGUAGAUAUCCGGAGGAACACCGGUGGCGAAGGCGGCUUCCUGGACCGACACUGACGCUGAGGCGCGAAAGCUAGGGGAGCAAACGGG
rnacentral:rRNA from 1 species